rnacentral:lncRNA from 1 species
UCCUUGUCAUCUGUGUGCAGGAAAGUCAUGUUGCCAAUUUUGGACAUAGUCUGAACCUCGACCUCGACCUGCAUUACCCUGGAACUGUUUUUGACUUUGACAAUCUUUUGCAGCGCGAUUCAUUAUAGUUUUUCGUUUAAUCCAGCAUGAACUACAGAAAUGUUUCUCUAAUAUACCCAGAUUAUAUUUGAGUAAUUCUUUUUUGCUGCAUGAGCCUAUGUUGUAAGAUGAACAAUAAAACCUUGGAUAUGACUGAUGCAAGCGACGUGCUUUGCAAAAUUAAAAAUUGUCAUUCCACGAAGCACGACCAUUUUUAUUUUUGGAAGUACAUCUUUGUGAAAUGCAAGCACAUCAGACCAUAUAAAUUAUUCACUAUAAAACAUUAGCUGUGUCAGAUGUUCAGCACGUUUGUCUCUAUAUUCUGCGGGUUCAAUGUUAUGUAUAAUGUAAUUUUCUCUCUGACAAGAGCAGGCAUACUUAAGGAGAUGAUUUCGAUAACGUCACUCCCAGCAGUCAUGAGGCCAUGCAU